rnacentral:rRNA from 2 species
GUUUGAUCCUGGCUCAGGAUGAACGCUGGCGGCGUGCCUAAUACAUGCAAGUCGAACGCUGGAGAUCUAGCUUGCUAGAUCGAAGGAGUGGCGAACGGGUGAGUAAUACAUAAGCAACCUACCCACGAAGACUGGGAUAAUCUCUGGAAACGGGGACUAAUACCGGAUAGGUAAUCGGAAGGCAUCUUCUGAUUAUUAAAGGUUAAAAACACUGGUGGAUGGGCUUAUGGCGCAUUAGUUAGUUGGUGAGGUAACGGCCCACCAAGACGAUGAUGCGUAGCCGGCCUGAGAGGGUGAACGGCCACAUUGGGACUGAGACACGGCCCAGACUCCUACGGGAGGCAGCAGUAGGGAAUUUUCGGCAAUGGGGGAAACCCUGACCGAGCAACGCCGCGUGAGUGAUGACGGCCUUCGGGUUGUAAAGCUCUGUUGUAAGGGAAGAACGGUAGAUAGAGAAUAUCUAAGUGACGGUACCUUACCAGAAAGCCACGGCUAACUACGUGCCAGCAGCCGCGGUAAUACGUAGGUGGCGAGCGUUAUCCGGAAUUAUUGGGCGUAAAGGGUGCGUAGGCGGCCUGUUAAGUAAGUGGUUAAAUUGUUGGGCUCAACCCAAUCCAGCCACUUAAACUGGCAGGCUAGAGUAUUGGAGAGGCAAGUGGAAUUCCAUGUGUAGCGGUAAAAUGCGUAGAUAUAUGGAGGAACACCAGUGGCGAAGGCGGCUUGCUAGCCAAAGACUGACGCUCAUGCACGAAAGCGUGGGGAGCAAAUAGGAUUAGAUACCCUAGUAGUCCACGCCGUAAACGAUGAAUACUAAGUAUUGGGGAAACUCAGUGCUGCAGCUAACGCAAUAAGUAUUCCGCCUGUGGAGUAUGCACGCAAGUGUGAAACAUAAAGGAAUUGACGGGGGCCCGCACAAGCGGUGGAGUAUGUGGUUUAAUUCGAC